CUCCCCUCCAGCCCCGCUGGUUGUUGGGCCGCGCCCCCCCGGGGGCGGGCCUCGAGAGAAACGGCGGCACCGUCCGGUCCUCGAGCGUAUGGGGCUCUGUCACCCGCUCUAUGGGCCCGGCCGGGGCUUGCCUCGACCCCCAAUCUUCUCA
rnacentral:misc_RNA from 1 species